AAAAUUCCUUAAUCUGAAUGUUUCACUUAAUAAAUGAAGCAUCUCCUGGUGAUUUUAAAAUCAGUUUAUUUUACUCAUUAUUCUUAAUAUUUAAGGAAAACAAUGUAAAAUGGGAAAAAAUGUAUCUUCUGCUACAUCAAAAAAGCAUUUUAAUCCAAACCCCACUAAAAAUUAUAACAAGCUCUGCAUGAUUUCAUAAAAAUGAAAACAUGAAAGUUAACAAGCAUUGAAAAUGCCAAAUUAUCACAAAAUCAUAGGGAGGUGGUGGUGGUGAUAUUGCUUCUUGACUUACACUGGGAUUUACAACAUGAUUACUAAUACACUUAACACUCAAGGAAAUAUCUGAUACAGAGAAUUACUUCUACACAAGAAAUAGUUCUUUCAGUUUUACUUUCCUAUUUCAUAAAAAAGGACAGUAAGAAUACAUUGUUAGAGUAACAUGAACUAAUUCACGUGCAUAUUGAAAUUAGAUAGAACUAAAUGCUUUUCUCUUCAAAUGUCCAAGGUUUUUAUUCAGUUAACUCUGGUUGGAAUCUUUCCAAGCAUAUUAAAUAGUUUUCUGCUUUCCUAACAUGGGUUACUGAAUAUAAUUUCACCUUUUCUUUAUGACUAAAGUUCAUCAUUAUAAGCAUUCCUUAUUACACUAAAACAGCAUUAGUUUGCCUAUUUCCUCUUUACUAGGAUGUGUCUGCCCUUAUAAACCCUCCUAACUCCAUCUGGAUUAACCUAUUAUAUGCUUGCUUUAUUUUUAUUUUUUUAGAGACAGGGUCUCACUCUGUUGCCUAGGCUGGAGUGCAGUAGCAUGAUCAUAGCUCAUUGCAAUCUUGAACUUCUGGGCUCAAGUGAUCCUCCUGCCUCACCCUCCUGAGU
rnacentral:lncRNA from 10 species